UGGCAGAUUUCCCUGAGGUGAUGCAGUCUUUAAGACCCAAAGAGCUGGAAAAAUACCUUGGAUAGCUGUGAUCUUGCCUGUGAUAGAAGAAGGAUUCCAGGGACAGCAUGACCAAAAGAGGACGACAGGAUGAAGAUGGUUGAAAGGAGUGAGAGUAUUCAGAGUUUCCAAGAGCCUGGGCCCAUCUCAAAAGAAGUUGGUCUCAACUUAGUGGAGAGGAUUGGACACUGUGAAACCCUAAUGAAUGGGCAGCAGAAACAGGUUUCUACUCCCCCAUGAAGAUCCUGUUUGGACCGUUCUAGUGGCUGAUGGCUUCAUGCUCCUAGGGAGGUGACACCCUUCCUCCAGGUACACUUCUGGAACUGCUCUGGAGACUGAUAUC
rnacentral:lncRNA from 12 species